rnacentral:rRNA from 1 species
GAUGAACGCUGGCGGCGUGCCUAAUACAUGCAAGUCGAACGCGCAGCGAAAGGUGCUUGCACCUUUCAAGCGAGUGGCGAACGGGUGAGUAACACGUGGAUAACCUGCCUCAAGGCUGGGGAUAACAUUUGGAAACAGAUGCUAAUACCGAAUAAAACUUAGUAUCGCAUGAUACAAAGUUAAAAGGCGCUACGGCGUCACCUAGAGAUGGAUCCGCGGUGCAUUAGUUAGUUGGUGGGGUAAAGGCUUACCAAGACGAUGAUGCAUAGCCGAGUUGAGGGACUGGUCGGCCGCAUUGGGACUGAGACACGGCCCAAACUCCUACGGGAGGCUGCAGUAGGGAAUCUUCCACAAGGGGCGCAAGCCUGAUGGAGCAACGCCGCGUGUGUGAUGAAGGCUUUCGGGUCGUAAAGCACUGUUGUAUGGGAAGAAAUGCUAAAAUAGGGAAUGAUUUUAGUUUGACGGUACCAUACCAGAAAGGGACGGCUAAAUACGUGCCAGCAGCCGCCGUAA